rnacentral:lncRNA from 1 species
CUCGCGACAGACACCUUUAACUAGGUCAGCGAAAUUGAGAAUCUAAGGUAUGAGGGUCGGUUGCGUAACGAAAGCAACUUAAUGCCAUCAUUCCGCCCGACACAAGGUCGGUAAUACUAGACGAUAAGUUUCUAUGGGUUUGGCUACCGUGCAUUUUAAAACAAGAGAUUUAAUAUGAUUUUGGAUAUUGGGGAGAUAUAACUCGAGGCGAAAUGACUGCCUACAUACCCGGGCUCGAGUCAAAAUGACUACCUACGUACCCGGAUUUCGAGAUCAAAGUUCCUGUAGUUCAAAUUUGAUAAGUUUGGCUUUUACAAUCCAUUUAUACUCUGGUGCUUGAGUUGAAUUCUUUUGAGAGUUGGAAGAUAUUGACCGUUGACUUAAUGGCGAAUAUCAAAUUUGACUUUUGGGGGAUGAUACUUUCCGUAGAUUUAACUAAAGAUAUCAAAUUUUAUUUAGAUGGACGAUACUUUCCGUUGACUUAAUGGAAAAAUAUCAAAUUUAAUUUAGGUGGACUCGAAUCAUUUAUGAUUGUCUACGUACCCAGAUCUUGGGAUCAAAGUCCACAUAGUUCAAAUAUCAACGCGACUUGCAAGGAAUUAAUACUUACUGACUUUUGGAUUUUCGGGAGAGGGGGUCAUUACUUUAAUAAAUAAUUUUGAGGAAUGAAGUAUUAAGAGAUAAUUAGGCGAGUUUUUAUUUUUAGGGAUUCUUGAAAAUUUUAUUCUUUUUUUAUGUAGUUUUGGUUUUCGAGACAAUGAUUCGAGAUAGCUAACUUUCGAGAAUUGGCAACUUUUACUAAUACUUAACUCUCGAGAGUGAACUAUUGCGAGAUAACUAUAAAGGAUUUAUUAAUGUAUUAUUAUUAUCCAUUUUCGUUUACUUAUUCUAUAUAUUAGUGAAGUAAGUUUUAGGGAUUUUUUUAUGAGAGAUGAUAUGAAAAUUUUUCUAAAUUUCCUAUGAUUAUUUGGAAUAGCUAAUUCUCGAGAAUUAAUUUUUUUGAGAUAACCUACAAUAAUGUUUUUAAGGAUUUUUCUAUGUUUAUUUUGAUGAUUAGCUAAGGUAGCUAGUUAAAAAGGUCUAGGUUUAAAAAUGACAGAGGUGGGAAUUGAAUCCUAAACCUAAGUAUUAUUAGUCUAAGUGUUUAACCAUUGGGCCAAAUGAGCUAUGUUUACCAAAUUAUUGGUCUAAAAUUAAUAUAUGUUGAGAAGAGCUAAUUUUUGCCGGUCUGCUUAGUGACCCGAGGCCCAUAUCGAAGCCUAUUUGGCAUGACGCUCCAGUCGUUUUAUUUUACUCAGCCUCCUAUUCUUUGUCUUCCUUUGUGGCUGCAGCCCCUACCAAGAGCUAACCUUUCUCCUCUCUUUUACACAAGCCCUAGUUGUAGCCCUCUAUUCAACUCUCGAACUAAGACCAAUCCGGUCACCCUCCGUUCAAAUCUUGAAAUACUCAACUCCAUCGCGAUCUGACAUCGAUGAUGAACUUGAUGAUCCUUUUCAAUCUCCGACGAUCUGACACUAGCCGAAACCGUCUCGACUGCUCCUUAUUUCAGCAGUCUCUCAUAUACCACGGGAAGGUAAGCCAACGAUCUCCCCAUCCUCUCUCGAUCCAACUAUUUUCUCGACUAAACUUGAACCGUGGUGGUGUUGCUGGACACCUCCCUUUGCGGGUCUGUCUCCUCCUUCUUCUCCACGAGCAACGUCAACCGAGGUCACCGCCACCACUAGUCCUUCAUCCCGACGAUCUCUCUUGUAAACGAAGAAGGUGAUUUCUCAACCUUUUCCUCUAACUUUCUCUCGAUUUUUAUCUCCUAACAAUUUUAACCUUAACUCUAUCAUAACUCUCAUCUCACUUUCUUCUAGUAGCAUAUGUGAGAAAUGGAACGGGGAAUGCGCUACGAUCGACGCAAAUGAGGUCCCCAAGAUCAAGUUUUGACUAAGUCAACCCUUGCUCCCUAAGGAUCAAAAUCAGCCAUUGUUCUAUUUAGGAGGGCUACUUGGUCCUAAAUAAAAUACUAAAGUCAUAAUUAAAAUAGCCUGAAUUAAACUACAACUAAAACGAAAGUAAAGAUGGGAGGCCAAGUAAGGUCCAAAAUCAGGCUUAGUGGGUCGUGCACUUGUGGAGGUGUAGUAGAUCAUGUCUCGGGCCUUGGAUGCAUCCAAGGAAGCCUUAUGAACGUAUGGUGAACUUCUGGGUUGAGAAAUAUAGGUCCAGACUUGAAUGGAUGCAAGAGGCAUCGUUUGGGUAGUAUCAUCAUCACCACUACGAGUGCACUUGUAGGCCUCGAGUUCGACUCUUGGUUUUAUUGCUCCGAAUGACUUGGAUGGGCUUUAAAUAUUCCAUAAUGCUUCUGCUCUAGAGAUGGCUUGAACAAAUAUGCUCUGUUUGGGCUAGGGCUCAAACUGUGAUGCAAAGAAAUUGGAAGCUCCGAUUUCAAGCAUCUUUGCACCAUCGAAUUCCUUGAUGCUCCAACUUUUUCCAAACUUGUGGAGGGUAUUCUUUUAUCAUCAUAUGUAUCUUCUCCAAUAGGUUGAGAAAUUUUUUCUUGUCUUGAAGGAUAUGUCUUUUGGCCCAAGUCUGCAUAGAAACUAGUGAAGUGUUGGACCUGAUUAUUCAAAAUUAAUUCGGAUAUGUUAGGAGUUAACAUGUCUUGCCACAUGCUACUGAAACACCCUAGACACCAAACGCGAUCAAAUCAAUUCUUCGAUCAAGAGUUCUAGCAGGCUUUGCCAAAGAAGAUCUGGAACCUAGCUAGUUUAGACUGAGUAGAGGAGCUACACAUGAAAUUCUCGGAAACGAUUGAAAGGCUUCGGCUAGUACUAAUCAUCGAGCUAGUAAUCUCGCUUCAAGAGGUAAAUCGUGACAAACUCUUUGUUAUGGAUUUAUAUGCGUAUGAGUCGGUCUAGGAUAUUAGAUGCUUUGGUAAUGCCGUUGCGAUUGUCUGUAUGCAUCUAAAUGAUUUCCUAUAGUAGAAUCAAAGUCCCUCGUUUUGUGUAUUUUCG